GCCUGGGUGGCUCGGUCAGUUAAGCAUCUGACUUCAGCUCAGGUCACGAUUUCACGGUUCGUGGGUUCAAGCCCCAUGUCGGGCU
rnacentral:tRNA from 1 species